GAGAGAGAGAGAGAGAAAGAGAGAGAGGAAGAGAAAGAGAGAGAGAAAGAGAAAGAAAGAAAAGAAAUGUGAAGUAGCACCUUCAAUCAUCCUUAAUCUCUUCUCUGGCUCUAGGCAGAUUCAGAAGGAAAUGGGGGAGCAUUCUCCAUGCACUUACCGAACGUGGGCCAGGCCAGAAACGACAGACACCUUGGUGGGCAAUUUCCAAUUAAUUAUAUGCAUUCAGAGAUGGGAAGCCUGCUUCAAACAAUAUAAAAUUUAUUUUUUUAAUUAGCUUUAUUUUUUGGCACUUAUAUGUCAUGUAAACUAGGAUUAAAGUGGAUUUGCAUUCUUAGGACACAAAUUGGAGGUGUGACAGAGGGGGUUAAGUGGGAGGUAUGUCAGUCUGGGCUUUAAAAAUUGUCCAGAGGUAAUUGACAAGACAGAUAAAAUUAGAUUGAGCUGACUACGUAAUUACUAGCAGUCAAAGGCAUCAUAAUCAGCCUUGAACAUGGAAACUUCCUUUGAGGAUCACUCAUAUACAGAUGUCAUCCCUUGUAAAACUGCUCUAUUUUAUAGAAUUUUCAGAGAGAAAGCUCAAAGAUGCCUUAGGAAAUGUCUUUGGGGGUAGUGUCUUUGUGGCAUUUCUUUCAGAGAUCAGAAGACACUGGUGAACUCCAGGUGGCAAUAGGAUGGAUGUGGGAUGGAAGUGGAGACGGCUGGAGAAGAGGACUGGGGAGAAGGCCUAGUUGGGAAACAGGGCUGACUAGGAUGCUCUGAGAGUCCUUUCUCAGCCUCCUGGAGAGAAGGAGGAAACUCCGUGGGAGUCCAGUGAGGUUUCGAGCCUCUCCAGGUAGAAGGACAUAGCCCCAGCCCAGGCGGCAUCGAGCACAGACUCGGCUGGCCGCGCCCCUCCCAGAGGAGGUGAAGAGGUUGAGGGGAGGGAGCGAGGGAGCGCGGGAGCUAGCGGCGCCGCGGGGCGGGGCUUCCGGGGCACCCAAUCCCCUUCUUUCCUCGCCCCUUCUCCGCCCCCCGACCCCCUUUCCACCAACGGAGCGCCACGGUGGGCGGUGCCAGUCACGGCUGCCGUCCUGGUUGUGAUUUUUUUUUCUCCCUUUUUUUCUCUCUCUCUCUUUUUUUUUUUUCACCUUUCCUUUUUUGUGAAUGAAAAAAGGAGGUCGCAAGCAGUCCCGGAGACUGCAGCGCUAGGCGUCUUCGUGGACGCGCCUUUGGAGCGGGCCCGGGAGCGUAGCACCGGCGGCCUCGCCCCUCUCGCCCACUCCUGCGUGCCACCUCCAUCCUCCGCAGCCAGAGGACCCGCGGCUGCGGCGCGGCCCAGCCGCGGAGGUCGGAGCGGCAGCCCGCUGCUCAGCUCCGGCGCGCCUCCAUGACAUUGGGCGCCGGUGGCGCGAGGAGAUGCUGAUCCGGAAGAGGCAAUGGCUGCAGUGCCGCGCGCGCGGCCGCUCCCGGCCCACGGUCCGGCCUGGGCUGCUCUGUCAGAGUUUCUGAUCUAACGCGAUCCGGGCCCGGAGCCUGAGCAGCAGCGGCGGCGGCGGCAGCAGCAGCAGCAGCAGCAGCAGCACCGCGGUGGAGUCGGCUUCGUCCUAACUUGCACGCGCGGAGUGACCCCAGACAUUUCACUAAAAUGAGCGUGCUUAGCAGGAAGAGAUGUGUUCCUUACACUAGAAAUUACCCCGUCACAUGUAGCGGUGUCCCAAUUAAUGGAUUCUGACAUGGAUUAUGAAAGGCCAAACGUAGAGACCAUCAAGUGCGUGGUGGUGGGGGACAACGCCGUGGGCAAGACCAGGCUCAUUUGUGCCCGGGCCUGCAAUGCCACCCUCACCCAGUACCAGCUGCUCGCCACCCACGUGCCCACGGUUUGGGCCAUCGACCAGUAUCGGGUGUGCCAGGAGGUGCUGGAACGUUCCCGAGACGUAGUAGAUGAUGUCAGCGUGUCCCUCCGCCUCUGGGACACCUUCGGAGAUCACCACAAAGACCGUCGCUUUGCUUAUGGGAGAUCUGAUGUGGUGGUUCUGUGCUUCUCCAUUGCCAACCCCAACUCCCUCCACCAUGUCAAGACCAUGUGGUACCCAGAAAUCAAGCACUUCUGCCCCCGAGCACCUGUCAUCUUGGUGGGUUGCCAGCUGGACCUGCGUUAUGCUGACCUGGAGGCUGUCAAUAGGGCCAGGAGACCCUUGGCUAGGCCCAUCAAGCCCAAUGAAAUCCUUCCCCCAGAGAAGGGUCGGGAAGUGGCCAAGGAGCUGGGCAUCCCCUACUAUGAGACCAGUGUGGUGGCCCAGUUUGGCAUCAAGGACGUCUUUGACAACGCCAUCCGGGCAGCGCUCAUUUCCCGCCGGCACCUGCAGUUCUGGAAGUCCCACCUCCGCAACGUGCAGCGGCCUCUGCUGCAGGCGCCCUUCCUGCCCCCCAAGCCACCUCCCCCCAUCAUCGUGGUGCCCGACCCCCCCUCCAGCAGCGAAGAGUGCCCCGCCCACCUCCUGGAGGACCCGCUGUGUGCGGAUGUCAUCCUGGUGCUGCAGGAACGGGUGCGCAUCUUUGCCCACAAGAUCUACCUCUCCACCUCCUCCUCCAAGUUCUAUGACCUGUUCCUCAUGGACCUGAGUGAGGGGGAGCUGGGGGGCCCCUCGGGGUCAGGGGGCCCCCACCCGGAGGACCACCGGGGUCACCCUGAUCACCACCACCACCACCACCACCACCACCACCACGGCCGGGACUUCCUGCUCCGGGCAGCCAGCUUUGAUGUGUGCGAGAGUGUGGAGGAGGGUGGGGGCUCUGGUCCCGCUGGGCUGCGGGCCUCAACCAGCGAUGGGAUCUUACGGGGCAACGGGACAGGGUACCUGCCCGGGAGGGGUCGAGUGCUGUCUUCCUGGAGCCGAGCUUUUGUGAGCAUCCAGGAAGAGAUGGCAGAAGAUCCACUGACUUACAAAUCCCGGCUGAUGGUGGUGGUGAAAAUGGACAACUCCAUCCAACCGGGGCCCUUCCGGGCUGUUCUCAAGUACCUGUACACAGGGGAGUUGGACGAGAAUGAGCGGGACCUCAUGCACAUUGCCCACAUUGCUGAGCUGCUCGAGGUCUUCGAUCUGCGCAUGAUGGUGGCCAACAUUCUCAACAACGAGGCCUUCAUGAACCAGGAAAUCACCAAGGCCUUCCAUGUCCGCCGGACCAACCGGGUUAAGGAGUGCUUGGCAAAAGGCACCUUCUCAGAUGUGACCUUCAUCCUGGAUGAUGGCACCAUCAGCGCCCACAAGCCCCUGUUGAUUUCCAGCUGUGACUGGAUGGCUGCCAUGUUUGGGGGGCCAUUUGUGGAGAGUUCCACCAGGGAGGUGGUGUUUCCUUACACGAGCAAGAGCUGCAUGAGGGCAGUGCUGGAGUACCUCUACACGGGCAUGUUCACGUCCAGUCCCGACCUGGACGACAUGAAGCUCAUCAUCCUGGCCAACCGCCUCUGCCUGCCCCACCUGGUUGCCCUCACAGAACAGUACACCGUGACCGGGCUGAUGGAAGCGACUCAGAUGAUGGUGGACAUCGAUGGGGACGUCCUUGUGUUCCUGGAACUGGCUCAGUUCCACUGUGCGUACCAGCUGGCCGACUGGUGUCUCCAUCACAUCUGUACCAACUAUAACAACGUGUGUCGCAAGUUCCCCCGAGACAUGAAGGCCAUGUCCCCAGAAAACCAGGAGUAUUUUGAGAAGCACCGCUGGCCGCCCGUCUGGUACCUGAAGGAGGAGGAUCACUACCAGCGGGCCCGGAAGGAGCGUGAGAAGGAGGACUAUCUCCACCUGAAACGGCAGCCCAAGCGGCGCUGGCUGUUCUGGAACAGUCCCUCCUCACCGUCCUCUUCAGCUGCGUCCUCUUCGUCCCCAUCUUCCUCCUCGGCUGUGGUCUGAGAUGCUGCCGCCCUCUUCUGACCCUGCUGCUCUCGUCCCCACUUGUCCUUGCCCCUCUGCUCCUCUGCAUCGCCCCCUCUACCUUCCAGGGACAAAGGACUCACAUAACCAGGACCCCACGGGCAGAGCUGCUCUCACCAGCCAACACAGCUCAGCAAAGAGAGGAAGGAGCCAGGCCGCGUGGAUCAGAACAGGGAGCCCCCCCACCUCUGCUGAGGUCCCGCUUCCAGAAACCGAGGCAGGAGACGACUCUUGGGAGGUGGGGAACAGGAGAAGAGCUGAGGGCUGUGGCACCUUGUCUCUGGGUCAGAGAACCCUAGAGUCAAAGGGAGAACUCCCCCAGCCGCGAGGCUGCGUGUCUUGGGUCCACGGAGGCAGCUCCCUCCCUGGGAGUGGUGGUGCCCAGGAAGGGCCCUUUCUCGGGGGGCCGUGUGUUUCCAUCCACGGACUUGGGGGGUUGCAGAUGUUUUGUGGGCAUUUCCACGUGGAGCCUACUCAAUUCCUCACUGGAGAAGUCAGGGUAGAAAUUAAGCCUUUAGAGCCCAACUCGAGACUUCCACACCUGGGGUGCAGCUGCCAGAGGCCAUGGGUGGAAGGCUUGCCCUCUGCGGGCACCCCUGCCAUGGCUGUGGGCAUCCAGGCCUGAGAAGGGUGGCAGAGAUUGUUCAGAGCUGCAGGUCUAGAAGCAGUGCCUCUUGGUGCAGUGAGAGACUUUUCUCUCCCCCCUCCUUCACUGCUCAGAUUUCCAGAUAGAAACCAAACAAAACAGCUGGAACCGGGGGAGAGAAGGAGGCGGGGGAUGGGGGCCUGGGCGCAGCAAUCCCGUACUCCUCUGGGCCCUCCACCCCCCACCCCACCCCCCCGCCUCUGGUCAGCACAGCUUCUUAUGGGAUAGGGCAAAAUUAGCAAAAAAAAAAAAAAAAAAAAAAAAAAA
rnacentral:lncRNA from 1 species